GAUGAACGCUAGCGGCGUGCCUAACACAUGCAAGUCGAACGUGAGAGGGUACUUGUAUCCUUGAAAGUGGCGGACGGGUGAGUAAGACGUAGGUGACCUGCCUUGAAGUGGGGGAUAACCAUUGGAAACGAUGGCUAAUACCGCAUAAGCUGGUGAUGAUGGGAAUCGUUAUCAGGAAAGCUUUAGUGCUUUGAGAGGGGCCUACGGCCGAUUAGCUAGUUGGUGAGGUAAAGGCUCACCAAGGCGAUGAUCGGUAGCUGGUCUGAGAGGACGAUCAGCCACACGGGAACUGAGACACGGUCCCGACUCCUACGGGGGGCAGCAGUGAGGAAUAUUCGGCAAUGGGGGCAACCCUGACCGAGCAACGCCGCGUGGAGGAUGACGGUUUUUCGGAUUGUAAACUCCUUUUCUCAGGGAAGAGCGAGGACGGUACCUGGGGAAUAAGUCA
rnacentral:rRNA from 1 species